AAGGGCACCACAAGAACGCGUGCCCCAUGUGGCUUAAUUUGACUCAACGCGGGAAAUCUUACCGCCCCCUGACACCUGAGCAUUGACAGGCAAUAUCUAAAUCGUUUAUAAUAAUUCCUAUUAUAAUACGUAUUUAGUGUUAAAUAUGCUAGUCCUUUCAUGAUUAUGUGAUAGGUGGUGCAUGGCCGUUCUUAGUUCGUGGAGUGAUCUGUCUGCUUAAUUGCGUUUCACUAAGGGCCCAUAAAUUCAAGGUAUGUUAGCUAUCGUUUCUCAAUUGACCCCUUGUCUUCGAUAAGCGCGUGUCUUUUAGAGUUUAAACAUUGCGCAUGCUGUUGGGUCCUGAAAGCAACGAACGUGACCGCAACGUCUUAUUGCCUUUAUCUUGCUAUAUUUUAAUUUAAUUAAAAAUAGCUAACAGAGGCUAAUUUAAAAUUAGACGGACCGCUGUACUUUUCUUAAACCAGAGGAAGGUUGCGGCAAUAACAGGUCUGUGAUGCCCUUAGAUGUUCCGGGCUGCACACGUGCUACAAUGAUCAGUACGGUGAGCAUCUCAAUAUUAUACACCGUAUUAAGCGCUUAGUUGCGAUUAUUGGCUCAUUAUUGGGUCUUUUAAUUGUAUUUCUAAUGCGCGCGGUAAAGCCUGCUUCGAGAGUAAGUGGGUAAUCCAUUGGAAGUAAUGAUUUCUCUUUUUAUAGCACACCUAUAUACGGCAUUCAUUCCCGGGACGACUAGUUUCGUCUUUUUUGUGCGAAUGUAAUGUAUUCUUUAUCCGUAUGUGCGAUUGUCAAUUCAUGGUGGGGACAGACCAUUGUUAAUUGUUGGUCUCGGUCUUAACUAGGAAUGCCUUGUACGGGUCUUUGGUUCAACAAACCACCCGGAAUACGUCCCUGCCCUUUGUACACACCGCCCGUCGCUCUUACCGAUGAACUUCUUUGUGAGUCUAAGGGACUGGGUUAAUGGGUAAUUCUAUAAGGGAUAUACCUAUGGAAACUUAUACGAACAAUGUGGUUUAAAGGGGGAGAGAAGUCGUACACAAGUGCAUCUAA
rnacentral:rRNA from 1 species